rnacentral:rRNA from 1 species
AUUGAACGCUGGCGGCAGGCUUAACACAUGCAAGUCGAGCGCGCGGCGCACGGGUGAGGAAUGUAUGGGGACUGCCCGAUAUAGGGGGAUAACUACUGGAAACGGUAUCUCAUACCGCCUACUACCGGAUAACCCCUAUGGGAUUAGCUAGUAGGUGAGGUAAUGGCUCACCUAGGCGACGAUCCCUAGCUGGUCUGAGAGGAUUAUCAGCCACACUGGGACUGUGACACGGCCCAGACUCCUACGGAGGCAGCAGUGGGGAAUAUUGCACAAUGGGCGCAAGCCUGAUGCAGCCAUGCCGCGUGUAUGAAGAAGGCCCUAGGGUUGUAAAGUACUUUCAGUCGGGAGGCGUUACCGACAGAAGAAGCACCGGCUAACUCCGUGCCAGCAGCCGCGGUAAUAC